rnacentral:rRNA from 1 species
CCUACGGGAGGCAGCAGUGGGGAAUAUUGGACAAUGGGCGAAAGCCUGAUCCAGCCAUGCCGCGUGUGUGAAGAAGGUCUUCGGAUGGUAAAGCACUUUAAGUUGGGAGGAAGGGCAGUAGCUUAAUACGCUGCUGUUUUGACGUUACCGACAGAAUAAGCACCGGCUAACUCUGUGCCAGCAGCCGCGGUAAU